CCUACGUGAGGCAGCAGUGGGGGAUAUUGCACAAUGGGGGAAACCCUGAUGCAGCGACGCCGCGUGUGGUGAGACGGUCCUCUGGAUUGUAAACCACUGUCCCCAGGGACGAAGAUGACGGUACCUGGGGAGGAAGCUCCGGCUAACUACGUGCCAGCAGCAGCGGUAAUACGUAGGGAGCGAGCGUUGUACGGAAUUACUGGGUGUAAAGGGAGCGUAGGCGGGGAUGCAAGUUGGGUGUCAAAACUACCGGCUCAACUGGUAGUCGCUAUUAAAACUGCAGCUCUUGAGUGAAGUAGAGGCAGGCGGAAUGCCUAGUGUAGCGGUGAAAUGCGUAGAUAUUACGAGGAACACCAGUGGCGAAGGCGGCCUGCUGGGCUUUUACUGACGCUGAGGCUCGAAAGUGUGGGUAGCAAACAGGAUUAGAUACCCCUGUAGUC
rnacentral:rRNA from 1 species